AUUGAACGCUGGCGGCAGGCUUAACACAUGCAAGUCGAACGAGUGGCGGACGGGUGAGUAAUGCUUGGGAAUCUAGCUUAUGGAGGGGGAUAACUACGGGAAACUGUAGCUAAUACCGCGUACCAUAGGAUGAGCCCAAGUGGGAUUAGGUAGUUGGUGGGGUAAAGGCUCACCAAGCCGACGAUCUCUAGCUGGUCUGAGAGGAUGACCGCCAACACGGAGAUUGAGACACGGCCCAGACCCUUAGGGGAGGCAGCAGGGGGGAAUAUGGCUAAAUGGCGGAAACCUGAGUCAGCCAUGCCGGGUGAAUGAAGAAGGCCUUGGGUUGGAAAAGUUCUUUCGGGAGCGAGGCGUUAACGACAGAAGAAGCACCGGCUAAUGCCGUGCCAGCAGCCGGGUAAUAC
rnacentral:rRNA from 1 species